UGGGGAAUAUUGGACAAUGGAGGAAACUCUGAUCCAGCAAUUCUGUGUGUGUGAAGAAGGUUUUAGGACUGUAAAACACUUUUAGUAGGGAAGAAAAAAAUGACGGUACCUACAGAAGAAGCAACGGCUAAAUACGUGCCAGCAGCCGCGGUAAUACGUAUGUUGCGAGCGUUAUCCGGAAUUAUUGGGCUUAAAGGGCAUCUAGGCGGUAAGACAAGUUGAAGGUGAAAACCUGUGGCUCAACCAUAGGCUUGCCUACAAAACUGUUGAACUAGAGUACUGGGAAGGUGGGUGGAACUACACGAGUAGAGGUGAAAUUCGUAGAUAUGUGUAGGAAUGCCGAUGAUGAAGAUAACUCACUGGACAGAAACUGACGCUGAAGUGCGAAAGCUAGGGGAGCAAACAGG
rnacentral:rRNA from 1 species